UUAUUAUCAACUUUCUCCAGA
ensembl:piRNA 21ur-7839 ncRNA